rnacentral:lncRNA from 1 species
AUUGUUUUACUAAAGAUAGUGUUAAAUGUUUGCUGUUUAGGUUGGUUUUGCUAACUUUUCACAGCUGUAGGGCUGUAUAUUUUAUCUAAUAUUUCUGCGCCAUAAGUUCAGGCCCUGUUGCUGUGAUGCAUGGUCUCCAUUAUGCAUCUAAAAUAAAGUGUAGGCAUUGGAUGGAGUAGCUGUCUUGGGUCCAUUUCUCACUGGGUCCAUGUUCCCCCACCCUGAAGACAUCUGCUCACCACCUGUUCUUGCUGCCACCUGCAACCUGCUCAGCUCUGUCCCUACCAGAAGGUUUGUUUGUUAGUUUGUUUGUUUUUAUUUUCAUCAGUAGGACAGAUUGGGAAGACGCAGCAAGAACUGGGACAUAAGAAACAUGCCAAUAGUUUGCACAGGAGCUGUCGGGUUGCCAAACACCUGGGAAAAGAACCUGAGAUCAGGGACCUUCAGGGGAGUUACUGUUCUGGUCAGUAAUUUCCUACCACUUUGAAAAGGUGUCUUUGGCUGCUGCAACCCUAUGUAUUGAGCAUGUGGGUACAAGCAUCCCAGAAAUCUGAGCAUUUGCUAUCUGGACUCCUCUGUUACGUUACCGUUUACACAAUAGAGUUUUUAAACAAAUAUGCUUUAUUUUCUAAAAUCUCUCGUAUUAAAUUUUUCUUUUGGAAUUAGCUGUGUAUUUUGUCAAAAUCUGGUUGAGAGAAGCCUUUUAAAUGAGGGGAUUAACUUGCAUUUUUCUAAAUUAAAAAAUAGGUGAAGCAUUUAUACAAGGCCUGUUGUUCAGAAUGACAUCAUCUCCUUUUUACCUCUCCUUACUCAGUUACUGUGCUUAAUUGGCUUGGUGUACUCACUCUUCUCUUCCACAUUCAUUGACCCUUAUCACUUUCCAUUUAAGAAAUAAAUGAGCAGCUCACUGUGGUAAAGUCGCAAAAAGUGGAGCAAAGUAUUAAUAUUCUCUACUUUAUAGAAAUAUCUGCUGUUAGAGGCAAAUGGGAAUAAUGAGAAAUUAACACACAAAAUAGUCUAAGGUUAGCAUGAGUCUCAAGAACAAACUGUGAGGGAAGGAAAGUCUGAAAUGUAUGAUGGGUCAUGAGUUGUAAUGUGGUUACAAAUGUGAAAGGAAUUCUGGGCUGGAUAGGUGUAGUUUAUUGACUCUUUUAGGAGGAACAACUACUUCAUGAGGUAGAGAUGAUCAUCCUAGAGUAUCAUGAACACACAAGGACUUGAAAUUCAUUUCCUUAAACGUGUCAUGAAUAAUGAAGAUGCCAUGGAGGAAGAUAUUUUGGAGGUGGUAUGGUAAAUGUAUUUGAUAGUAAAUAUGAUUAGUUACGUUAUAUAAACUUAAACAUUACCUCAUCUUGAUUAUAGCCCUGUGUUUAUAGAGAUAUUUCCAUUCCUUUAUAGUAAAUAUAGUGAGGUCUCAAUAAGACGCUAAGCACUUUAAAGAAUGUGAUUUCCAUUCAGUCUUCUGGAGUGAAAUGAUAAGAAUUUUAAUGUUUAUCUUGGCAUUUGAAAGUAAGUAAAUCCGGGCAUGGUGUCGCAUGCCUUUAAUCCCAGCACUCUGGAGGCAGAGGCUGGCAGAUUUCCGAGUUCGAGGCCAGCCUGGUCUACAAAGUGAGUUCCAGGACAACCAGGGCUAUACAGAGAACCAAACCCUUGUCUCGAAAAACC